GAUGAACGCUAGCUACAGGCUUAACACAUGCAAGUCGAGGGGCAGCACUAGGUAGCAAUACUGAGGUGGCGACCGGCGCACGGGUGCGUAACGCGUAUCCAACCUUCCCGUUACUCUUGGAUAGCCUUCCGAAAGGGAGAUUAAUACAAGAUGGUUUUCAAAUUCCGCAUGUUAUUUGAAUUAAAGAUUUAUCGGUAACGGAUGGGGAUGCGUGACAUUAGAUAGUAGGCGGGGUAACGGCCCACCUAGUCUACGAUGUCUAGGGGUUCUGAGAGGAAGGUCCCCCACACUGGAAAUGAGACACGGUCCAGACUCCUACGGGAGGCAGCAGUGAGGAAUAUUGGUCAAUGGUCGGAAGACUGAACCAGCCAAGUAGCGUGAAGGAUGAAGGUUCUAUGGAUUGUAAACUUCUUUUAUACGGGAAUAAAACCUCCCACGUGUGGGGGCUUGUAUGUACCGUAUGAAUAAGCAUCGGCUAACUCCGUGCCAGCCGCCGCUGUAAGAC
rnacentral:rRNA from 1 species